GACGAACGCUGGCGGCGUGCUUAACACAUGCAAGUCGAACGGAAAGGCCCUGCUUUUGUGGGGUGCUCGAGUGGCGAACGGGUGAGUAACACGUGAGUAACCUGCCCUUGACUUUGGGAUAACUUCAGGAAACUGGGGCUAAUACCGGAUAGGAGCUCCUGCUGCAUGGUGGGGGUUGGAAAGUUUCGGCGGUUGGGGAUGGACUCGCGGCUUAUCAGCUUGUUGGUGGGGUAGGGGCUUACCAAGGCUUUGACGGGUAGCCGGCCUGAGAGGGUGACCGGCCACAUUGGGACUGAGAUACGGCCCAGACUCCUACGGGAGGCAGCAGUGGGGAAUAUUGCACAAUGGGCGGAAGCCUGAUGCAGCAACGCCGCGUGCGGGAUGACGGCCUUCGGGUUGUAAACCGCUUUCGCCUGUGCCGAAGCGUGAGUGACGGUAAUGGGUAAAGAAGCACCGGCUAACUACGUG
rnacentral:rRNA from 1 species